GAUGAACGCUGGCGGCGUGCCUAAUACAUGCAAGUCGAGCGAACGGACGAGAAGCUUGCUUCUCUGAUGUUAGCGGCGGACGGGAGAGUAACAUGUGGAUAACCUACCUAUAAGACUGGGAUAACUUCGGGAAACCGUAGCUAAUACCGGAUAAUAUUUUGAACCGCAUGGUGCAAGAGUGAAAGACGGUCUUGCUGUCACUUAUAGACGGAUCCGCGCUGCAUUAGCUAGUUGGUAAGGUAACGGCUUACCAAGGCAACGAUGCAUAGCCGACCUGAGCGGGUGUUGGGCCACACAGGAGGUGAGACGCGGCCCAGACACCUACGGGAGGCAGAAGCAGGGAAGGGUCGGAACAGGGCGAAAUCCUGACGGAGGAACGACGCGUGAGUGAUGCGGGUCCUCGGAUCGUAAAACGCUGUUAGGAGGGAAGAACAUAUGUGUAAGUAACUGAGCACAUCUUGACGGUACCGCAGCAGAAAGCCACGGCUAAUUACGU
rnacentral:rRNA from 1 species